GUUCGUCUUCAGGGGCAGGGUGAAAUUCCCGACCGGCGGUAAAAGUCCGCGACCCGUACCUUGUGUGCGGUUGAGUAAGGUGUGAUUCCUUGACCGAUAGUUAAAGUCUAGAUAAAAGAAGAUGGGG
rnacentral:ncRNA from 2 species